CCUACGGGGGGCAGCAGUGGGGAAUAUUGCACAAUGGGGGGAACCCUGAUGCAGCGACGCCGCGUGGGUGAGGAAGUACUUCGGUAUGUAAAGCCCUAUCAGCAGGGAAGAAAAUGACGGUACCUGACUAAGAAGCCCCGGCUAACUACGUGCCAGCAGCCGCGGUAAUACGUAGGGGGCAAGCGUUAUCCGGAUUUACUGGGUGUAAAGGGAGCGUAGACGGCGUGCCAAGUCUGGUGGGAAAGGCCGGGGCCCAACCCCGGGACUGCAUUGGAAACUGGCAUGCUGGGGUGCCGGAGGGGGAAGCGGAAUUCCCAGUGGAGCGGUGAAAUGCGUAGAUAUUAAGAGGAACACCGGUGGCGAAGGCCGGUUGCUGGACGGUAACUGACGUUGAGGCUCGAAAGCGUGGGGAGCCAACAGGAUUAGAUACCCGAGUAGUC
rnacentral:rRNA from 1 species